UACGGAGGGUGCAAGCGUUAUCCGGAUUCACUGGGUUUAAAGGGUGUGUAGGCGGGUCAUUAAGUCAGUGGUGAAAUCUCCAGGCUCAACCUGGAAACUGCCAUUGAUACUAUUGAUCUUGAAUUUUGUUGAGGUAGGCGGAAUAUAUCAUGUAGCGGUGAAAUGCUUAGAUAUGAUAUAGAACACCGAUUGCGAAGGCAGCUUACUAAGCAAAUAUUGACGCUGAGGCACGAAAGCGUGGGGAUCAAAC
rnacentral:rRNA from 1 species